rnacentral:rRNA from 1 species
GAUGAACGCUGGCGGCGUGCCUAAUACAUGCAAGUCGAGCGAACGGACGAGAAGCUUGCUUCUCUGAUGUUAGCGGCGGACGGGUGAGUAACACGUGGAUAACCUACCUAUAAGACUGGGAUAACUUCGGGAAACCGGAGCUAAUACCGGAUAAUAUUUUGAACCGCAUGGUUCAAAAGUGAAAGACGGUCUUGCUGUCACUUAUAGAUGGAUCCGCGCUGCAUUAGCUAGUUGGUAAGGUAACGGCUUACCAAGGCAACGAUGCAUAGCCGACCUGAGAGGGUGAUCGGCCACACUAGAACUGAGACACGGUCCAGACUCCUACGGGAGGCAGCAGUAGGGAAUCUUCCGCAAUGGGCGAAAGCCUGACGGAGCAACGCCGCGUGAGUGAUGAAGGUCUUCGGAUCGUAAAACUCUGUUAUUAGGGAAGAACAUAUGUGUAAGUAACUGUGCACAUCUUGACGGUACCUAAUCAGAAGGCCACGGCUAACUACGUG